GACGAACGCUGGCGGCGUGCCUAGUACAUGCAAGUAGAACGCUGAAGAGAGGAGCUUGCUCUUCUUGGAUGAGUUGCGAACGGGUGAGUAACGCGUAGGUAACCUGCCUGGUAGCGGGGGAUAACUAUUGGAAACGAUAGCUAAUACCGCAUAAAAUGGAUUAUCGCAUGAUAAUCCAUUGAAAGGUGCAAAUGCAUCACUACCAGAUGGACCUGCGUUGUAUUAGCUAGUUGGUGGGGUAACGGCUCACCAAGGCGACGAUACAUAGCCGACCUGAGAGGGUGAUCGGCCACACUGGGACUGAGACACGGCCCAGACUCCUACGGGAGGCAGCAGUAGGGAAUCUUCGGCAAUGGACGGAAGUCUGACCGAGCAACGCCGCGUGAGUGAAGAAGGUUUUCGGAUCGUAAAGCUCUGUUGUAAGAGAAGAACGAGUGGAGAGGGAAAGUUCACAC
rnacentral:rRNA from 1 species